GAGGCAGGUAACACACAGUAAGAACUGCUAAUUCUUAUAUCUGAGGUUAAUUACCUCAGCUCCCUCA
rnacentral:tRNA from 1 species